rnacentral:rRNA from 1 species
UACAUGGGGUGCAAACGUUGCUCGGAAUUAUUGGGCGUAAAGCGCACGUAGGCGGUUCGUUAAGUCGGAUGUGAAAGCCCUCGGCUCAACUGAGGAAGUGCACCCGAAACUGGCGAGCUUGAGUACGAAAGAGGAUCGCGGAAUUCCUGGUGUAGAGGUGAAAUUCGUAGAUAUCGGGAGGAACACCGGUGGCGAAGGCGGCGAUCUGGGUCGAUACUGACGCUGAGGUGCGAAAGCGUGGGGAGCAAACAGG